AUUGAACGCUGGCGGCAGGCCUAACACAUGCAAGUCGAACGAGUGGCGGACGGGUGAGUAAUGUCUGGGAAACUGCCCGAUGGAGGGGGAUAACUACUGGAAACGGUAGCUAAUACCGCAUACCAUCGGAUGUGCACAGAUGGGAUUAGCUAGUAGGUGGGGUAACGGCUCACCUAGGCGCCGAUCCCUAGCUGGUCUGAGAGGAUGACCAGCACCAAUGGAACUGAGACACGGUCCAGACUCGAACGGGAGGCAGCAGAGGGGAAUAUUGCACAAUGGGCGCAAGCCGGAUGCAGCCAUGCCGCGUGUAUGAAGAAGGCCUUCGGGUUGUAAAGUACUUUCAGCGAGGAGGCGUUACUCGCAGAAGAAGCACCGGCUAACUCCGUGCCAGCAGCCGCGGUAAUU
rnacentral:rRNA from 1 species